UGUAACCUCGGAUCAGGUAGGAAUACCCGCUGAACUAAUUCUUCCCUU
rnacentral:rRNA from 1 species